rnacentral:rRNA from 1 species
GACGAACGCUGGCGGCGUGCUUAACACAUGCAAGUCGAACGCAGUUGCGAACGGGUGAGUAACGCGUAGGUAACUGCCUGGUAGCGGGGGAUAACUAUUGGAAACGAUAGCUAAUACCGCCUUCUACCAGAUUGACCUGCGUUGUAUUAGCUAGUUGGUGAGGUAACGGCUCACCAAGGCAACGAUACAUAGCCGACCUGGGAGGGGGAGCGGGCACACUGGGACUGGGACACGGCCAAGACUCCGACGGGAGGCAGCAGUAGGGAAUCUUCGGCAAUGGGGGGAACCCUGACCGAGAAACGCCGCGUGAGUGAAGAAGGUUUUCGGAUCGUAAAGCGCUGUUGUUAAGGAAGCGGUACUUAACCAGAAAGGGACGGCUAGCUACGUGCCAGCAGCCGCGGUAAUUC